rnacentral:rRNA from 1 species
UACAGAGGCCUCAAGCGUUAGGCGGAAUCACUGGGCUUAAAGCGUGUGUAGGUGGAUGCCUAAGUACCUUGUGAAAUCCCACAGCUUAACUGUGGAAUUGCUUGGUAUACUGGGUGUCUUGAGCCACUCAGGGGCUACCGGAACAAACGGUGGAGCGGUGAAAUGCGUAGAUAUCAGGAGGAACACCAAUGGCGAAGGCAGCUCGCUGGGACGGUACUGACGCUGGAGGCGCGAAAGCGUGGGGAGCAAACAGG